rnacentral:rRNA from 1 species
UACGGAGGGUGCAAACGUUGCUCGGAAUCAUUGGGCGUAAAGCGCACGUAGGCGGCGCGUUAAGUCGGGUGUGAAAGCCCUGGGCUCAACCCAGGAAGUGCAUUCGAAACUGGCGCGCUUGAAUAUGGAAGAGGGUCGCGGAAUUCCCGGUGUAGAGGUGAAAUUCGUAGAUAUCGGGAGGAACACCAGUGGCGAAGGCGGCGACCUGGGCCAAUAUUGACGCUGAGGUGCGAAAGCGUUGGGGAGCAAACAGG